rnacentral:tRNA from 1 species
GGAGAGAUGUCUGAGUGGUUUAAGGUACUGGUCUUGAAAACCAGCGUAACGUUUGUUACCGAGGGUUCAAAUCCCUCUCUCUCCA